AUUGAACGCUGGCGGCAGGCUUAACACAUGCAAGUCGAGCGGGGUGAUGGUGCUUGCACUAUCACUUAGCGGCGGACGGGUGAGUAAUGCUUAGGAAUCUGCCUAUUAGUGGGGGACAACAUCUCGAAAGGGAUGCUAAUACCGCAUACGUCCUACGGGAGAAAGCAGGGGAUCACUUGUGACCUUGCGCUAAUAGAUGAGCCUAAGUCGGAUUAGCUAGUUGGUGGGGUAAAGGCCUACCAAGGCGACGAUCUGUAGCGGGUCUGAGAGGAUGAUCCGCCACACGGGGACGGAGACACGGACCAGACUCCUCCGGGAGGCAGCAGUGGGGAAUAUUGGACAAUGGGGGGAACCCUGAUCCAGCCAUGCCGCGUGUGUGAAGAAGGCCUUAUGGUUGUAAAGCACUUUAAGCGAGGAGGAGGCUCUUUUGGUUAAUACCCAAGAUGAGUGGACGUUACUCGCAGAAUAAGCACCGGCUAACUCUGUGCCAGCCGCCGCCGUAA
rnacentral:rRNA from 1 species